GUGGCUGCAAAGCACUUUGGAACAGAGGUAUUGUCUGGAAACACAGUAAAUAACUGGAAUUACUUGUCCUGAUAAGGCUGGAAAUUACACACAGUGCCUUUGCUAUUAUUGGCUAAUGCAUAGUGUACAUACCACAUGCUAUAGUACUAGUAGUACUAGCCCAAAGGGAUAGUUCAGACUUUUUUCAAAUGGGGUUGUAGGAGGUACUUAUCCAUAGUCAGUGUUUUACCUACGCCCGCAGUUUGGAGUCUUGAAACGGAAGCUAAGCAAUGCACUGCUGUGGACGGCAGCAGCUUAAUGUAUUUUAGCCAACUAAAAA